ACACCACCCCCUUGACAUCCUCCGGCUCUUCGGAUGCUGCCAUGUCUCCGUCCUCAGCGUCGCCCACGCAGAACACGGUGGCUGUGGAGUGCAGGUGAUGACACGCACACAGGCACCACCCCCAACACAGACUCCGCCCACUGCGCCACCUCUGAGGCCUCAUGGGAAACACACCUGUGGACUAACUUCCUGUCUGAGAACAGCCGUCUGUCGCCACAGGAAACGGCUCCUGAUUUCAAAAUAAAGCCACAGUUUAUCCCGGGGGGGGGAGGGAGAAACUAAGCAGCACAGCUCGUUAUGCAAAUGAGUUUAUUUUUCUCUCGUUAAUUAAAAAAUGUUUUAAGAAUAAAAGAUUAGAAUAUAAAGUUCCUGACUUCCUGUUUUUAUAACUCAGAUCUUUUAUUUUAGGUAAAAACAAAGACUUCCUGUCGCAGAGAAAAUUAAAUAUUUUGUUU